rnacentral:rRNA from 2 species
CUGGUGUCAGCCGCCGCGGUAAUACCAGCACCCCGAGUUAUCGGGACGAUUAUUGGGCCUAAAGCAUCCGUAGCCUGUUCUACAAGUCCUCCGUUAAAUCCACCUGCUCAACAGAUGGGCUGCGGGGGAUACUACAGAGCUAGGAGGCGGGAGAGGCAAACGGUACUCAGUGGGUAGGGGUAAAAUCCAUUGAUCUACUGAAGACCACCAGUGGCGAAGGCGGUUUGCCAGAACGCGCUCGACGGUGAGGGAUGAAAGCUGGGGGAGCAAACCGGAUUAGAUACCCGGGUAGUCCCAGCUGUAAACGAUGCAGACUCGGUGAUGGGUUGGCUUCGCGCUAACCCAGUGCCGCAGGGAAGCCGUUAAGUCUGCCGCCUGGGGAGUACGGUCGCAAGACUGAAACUUAAAG